rnacentral:rRNA from 1 species
UACGUAGGAGGCGAGCGUUGUCCGGAAUUACUGGGCGUAAAGAGCGCGUAGGCGGGCGCGGUACGACCGCUGUGAAAGCCCCCCAGCUCAACUGGGGGAGGGUCAGCGGUAACGGCCGUGCUAUGAGUGCAGGAGAGGGAAGUGGAACUCCGGGAGUAGCGGUGAAAUACGUAGAUAUCUGGAGGAACACCGGUGGCGAAGGCGGCGAUCUGGCCCAACAUUGACACUGAGACUCGAAAGCGCGGGGAUCAAACAGG